ACCACCUGGUGCCCGGUAGUUCCAACGGGCUGUCUCUUCUCCUUUCUCCUCCUCUCAAGAAAGAAACAGAGUCUUCUAGACCCCUCCCAAAUUCCUCGCCGGCGCCGGGAUCUCGCGUCACCACUCUCCUCCGCUGCCUCCCGAACUUCCCUCGCUCUGGAUCCGGUCCACCAUGAGCCAAGCCUCGCCGCCAAGUCCCUUGCCGCCGCCUGUGUCCUAUGUCCCCACGGCAGCCGCCGCCGCAUCGCCCCCCUUGCUCGAUGCAUCGGCUCGGCUCCAGCGCCUAACCCAGGGUCGCAUGGUGGGCUGCGCGAGCCUGCCGGCCUGCCCCGCAGCCCCCUCGCCAACAUGGGCCCAGCCGCCCCUCCUCGCCUCGCGAGGUAGCUGGAGAAGAAGCUGCCGGAUCGGAGGCUACCGCAGGACAAGAUCAUCUGCUGCUGCUGUGUCUGCUUGUUGAAGAAGGGUGUGCCGGCAGGAGGAGGCAGUGUUGAGAGUGCUCGGUCUGCAACAGGGCGAGCUUGGGCUGCACCGCAGGCUCUGGUUCUCAACCUCCAACAUGAUUCCCUUUCUUCCGUGCCUCCAAUGGAGGCUACCAGCGGCAGGAACGCCACGAGUCAUCCUGGCAUUGCAGAUGCAGAGCCUUCCAGGGGUGACCUGUUUGUUCCCGGCCGCGCCGAUGUCAACUACCUUCAUCCACUGUGACUGUCCCCAACCACGCUCAACUCCCCAAACCUGUACCAUCCCCUCAGGUCAAUAUUCAUACCCUUUUCAUUGCGACAUUCGUCAGAUUUUUGUACUUGGGAUGAUUUGGUGCAAGGCAUAGAGGAGCAUGAUCAAGCAUGGCUAAAUAUAUUUGUGUUUUUAGGUGAGAAGAUAGAUGAAGUGAGGGCUCAAGAGCUAAUAUUUUAGCGCUGAUGUUUCGAACAAACAAGAAAAAGAAGGAUACACUAUGUGGACUUAUUAGCUAUUGCCAAAUGCUCUCCGUCCCUAGCGGACACCUCGAUAUAGGACUUAGCAGACAGAGGGAAAGCCGAGUAGGAAGAACAAGUCUUCUUCCAAGGUGAAAAUGGAAGCCCGUAUGUUUGAUUGUUCCCAAUGUGUACCGAUCAAAUAUUCAAAUGUAUAACAUCAUUUUGAUCAAUGUCUCCUACAUUAUUUCGUUGUCCCCUAGCAUUGCACUCAUGCCUUCUUUUUGAUUCCGUAGCGUAGCACGGGCAUCUUACUAGUAUAGACAUAUUUUAGA